GAGGGCUGCUACCUGCAGUCGAGCGGCAGCGGAGGUACCUUGCUACUUUGCCGGCGAGCGGCGGAGGGGUGAGUAGUGUGGGGGAAAGUGCCUGGUGGGGGGGGAUCUCUAGUGGAAACGGUCUCUAAUACCGCAUAGCGUCGCAAGACCAAAGAGGGGGACCUUCGGGCCUCUUGCCCUCAUGUGUGCCCAUAUGGGAUUAUCUAAUGUGUGGGGUAGCGGCUCCCCUACGCCACUAUCCCUAUCUGGUCUGAGAAGAUGACCACCCACUCUGGAACUGACACACGGCCCACACUCCUACGGGAGGCAACAGUGGGGAAUAUUGCACAGUGGGCGCACCCCUGAUGCCCCCGUGCCGCGUGUAUGAAAAACGCCUUCGGUUUGUAAAGUACUUUCCGCGGAGAAGAAGGAUAUAGGGUUAAUAACCUUGUCUAUUGACUUUACCCGCAAAAAAAGCCCCGGCUAUCUCCGUGCCCACACCCGCGGUAAUACAGAGGGUGCAAGCGUUAAUCAGAAUUACUGGGCGUAAAGCGCACGCGCGCGCUCUGUCAACUCAGAUGUGAUCUCCCCGGUCUCCACCUGAGAACUGCAUUCAAAUCUGACGCGCUAGACUCGUGUAGAGGGGGGUAAAACUCCGUGUGUAGCGGUGAUAUGCAUAGAGAUCUGGGGAGAAUACCGGUGGCGAACGCCCCCCCCGUGGACAGACACUGACUCUCGUGUGCGAGAGCGUGGGAGAGCACACGAGAUUAUACACUCUGGGUACUCCACGCCAUACAACUGAUGUCGACGUAGGAUGGUUGUGCCCUUUGGACGCGGUGUCUUCCCGAGCAUCAUAACGCUGUAUAAAUCUCGAGCCCGCCUCGUGGGGAGAAGCUAGCGCGCCCCGACAGAGGGGUUUUU
rnacentral:rRNA from 1 species